rnacentral:misc_RNA from 1 species
UAAAUCUCGACCCUCGGGUUGGACUUUGGACGCUUGCGGCGGCCUGGCCCGCCGCUCGUCUUAAAUGCAUUAGCGGGGACAGCGGCCCAUUGCUGGCGUUUAGUAAUGCUUGCGCCGAGCGGGGUUCCGCUUUUCGCUUUUCGUCCUUCGGGACGCGCUUGACUU